GAUGAACGCUGGCGGCGUGCUUAACACAUGCAAGUCGAACGAAGACAUCUGAGUGCUUGCACUUGGAUGGACUGAGUGGCGGACGGGUGAGUAACGCGUGGGUAACCUGCCUUAUACAGGGGGAUAACAGUUGGAAACGACUGCUAAUACCGCAUAAGCGCACGGUAUCGCAUGAUACAGUGUGAAAAACUCCGGUGGUAUAAGAUGGACCCGCGUCUGAUUAGCUUGUUGGUGAGGUAACGGCUCACCAAGGCGACGAUCAGUAGCCGGCCUGAGAGGGUGAACGGCCACAUUGGGACUGAGACACGGCCCAAACUCCUACGGGAGGCAGCAGUGGGGAAUAUUGCACAAUGGGGGAAACCCUGAUGCAGCGACGCCGCGUGAGUGAUGAAGUAUUUCGGUAUGUAAAACUCUAUCAGCAGGGAAGAUA
rnacentral:rRNA from 1 species